rnacentral:lncRNA from 1 species
UAGAUGGCGUCUAGACUAAAUAACACACGAAACGAAGCUACGUAUUUCAUGCCUUGCCUGUUUAUUGUUUUAUUUAGAACUUUUAAUAAUUUGGAGAAAUGUUUUACAUUGUUAUAAAUCAAAUAUGAGAAUUUGAUUAGAAUCGGUGAACAUGAACUUGACAGAUAGUGCCCCUUUAAUAAUCGUUAAUUAAUGUAAGCCAGAACAUUAUCAUUCCAGAAGUAUGCAUGAUAUGAUAUAUUUCGCAUAGGAUAUUUAUUCUUAAACAAUCUGUACAUGGGAAUAGAAAACCCAUAGUGUUUUAAUUUUUUCAACAUUUGAACACAUUCUUCAUAUAAACUGUGCUAUCAACAAUUCAUCAACAAGUUAUGUGUGUUCAAAUUAAAACAAAGAAACAAUAUUUUAAAAAUCGAUUAUUCCUUUAAGAUAUUUUCCUUUUUUGACAACAAUUUAUAUAGAUCGUCUAAGUAAUUGCAUGUAUAUGAGUGAUCUUAAAUUUUAUUUGCAUUAAACUAAUAAAAUCUAAUAACAUUCAUCUCAUUACAGUAAGCCUAUAUGGUAACGUUUGAAAAAAAUGCUGUUUUCCAUUUUAUUUUGUUGAUAUGUUUGUAAGAAAGCAUCUGGUCUAGCUCACCCUUCAGGAGCACCUGAGAUCACCCCUAGUUUUUAGUGGGGUUCGUGUUGCUUAUUCAUUAGUGUUCUAUGUUGAGUCAUGUGUACUAUUGUUUGUCUGUUUGUCUUUUUUUUUCAUUUUUAGCCAUGGCGUUGUCAGUUUAUUUUCGAUUUAUGAGUUUGACUGUCCCUCUGGUAUCUUUCGUCCCUCUUUUACAGAGUCCAAUCUUGUUAUUUUGACAUGUACAUCUAGCGCAACAUUAAAUCAAAGAAACAUGCUAACAUUAUGUGACAAUUUUUUUUUAUAAUUAUUCAUAUUCAUCUAUGCUAUUAAACGAAACGUCUUAUGAAUUUGUGUGUCCUUGAAAUAAAUGCCAAACACUACAUAUCUCAUUUUGAACACUAGAUUCCUCACAUCAUUAAAACAUAUAUAAGGAAAUGAACUAUCAUUGUCCAGAGUUUCAUGUUUUGAAGAAGUAUACCUGAAAGUAAAUACAUCGAGAGAUUUUUUUUAACAUAGAUAGUGAGAGAUUAAGGGAUUUUUUUAGGCAUCAAAGCACUCAUAAAAAACCCACAGUUUUCAAUAUUGAGUCAUAAUAUGUCAAAAUCUUUCUUGGUUCAUUGAUUUAUUUGCUGGACUCCGGUUGAUAGGAAUGUUUGUAUGGCGUGAAAUAAAUGUGAACUUGCUUGAAGUUAUACAUUUGAUACAUAAAUACAUCAUAAAUACCAGGAUUGAAAUUUUAUAUAUUGGUACCAGACGCGCGUUUCAUCUACAAAAGACACUUUAGUGACGCUCGAAUAAAAAAAUAUAAACGUCUGCUCUUCCAUGUGUCUUUCUAGAACCAUCAAACUUCCUUGAAUAUAUAUUAUAAAUUAGCACUUUAUUCUGUGGUCACUUGUCCAUAUCUUUAUACAUUAUCUAGAUAUUUUGAACAGUAACUUACCAUUAUAAAGUGUUACCUUGUUACAUGAAAUUAAGAUAUGGGCUUCGUAAACAGGUUUGGAAAAACGUUUCUGCGUCCGUCUCCC